AACCCACAAGGGUUCGUUCUGAAUCAGCAUUGACUUGAUGGCAGUGAGUGUUUGGGGGCUUGCUGACCCUCAGGAGUGGCUGAGGCUUACUGGAGUGGGGAGCCUCUGAGCAACUUAAUUCACCAAGCUGGGUUUGUUGGCCCCCAGAGCGGGAACUGAAUGCCUGCUGGGUUGAGCCUUACAGGAGAGUGAUAUGCCCCUUUGGCAGACCUGGAAAAAAGAACUUUGUAACCUGUGCUGGCAAGCACCUGUAUCCUGAGCAUUUCUCACUGAUGUUAUAGCCUGUCAACUUCCUUACUAAACGCUUGUCUGUGUAACUGUGGCAAUGGGUAUUAGAACCUAGAGGUAGAAUACAUCUAGAACCUAGAAGGAAUACUACCUAAAACAACACUCUGGUUAUAGGCUCUUAUGCCACGGUGCACAUCUCCUCCUUCUAAUCUAUACCGUUCUUAUUGUGAAUACUGAAUUAAAACUGUAAGUCCCAAGAAAGCAAAAUAAAACAACCCUUACUUGUCAUCUUCUCUGCCCCAUCCCACCCCCUGGCCUAAGGCCUAACACAUGUAUGUGGUAGCUACCCAGUAAGUAUCUUUUGAAUCAAUGGGUGCUUUGUAGGACAUUCUGGGGGGAGGAUAGAUAGGGGCUACGUUGUUCAGUGACUAAAGUGACUUGGGGAAAACUUGGAUGAUUCACUUCAGAAGCUCCCCAUUUUGUGUGUGACCUAUCUGUGCUUUGCCACAUCCUAGAGGGGUAUCACGUGUCCACACGUAGCACUGGACCCAUUGAGCCGCCCUCCAGCCUUGGCACGAGUGUGUUACUCCCGGACCUGCCAGGCUCCCUCAUCCUCCAGAGAACAGCUCCUUUUCUGACCACCAAGCACUUUUCUUCUGCGUGUCUGCCGGAACGGUCAGAGCAAGGUGCAUGACAGGAGAGGAGGAAGAGCCAGGGAAGGAGCUCCAAUCUGGCAGCUUCAAGAAAGCCCACAAAACGCCAAGGAGCUGAUUCCAGGAACAGAAAGAAAUGUAAAUGUUUAACUUAGCAGGAAAAGACAAAAGACUUUUAAUAUUUCCUACCAUCAUCCCUCAGUAUGGUUCAGCGCCAUCUUAUAUGAAACUUCCUAACCACGAGAGCCAAGCGGAGGAAGAAGAGAAUGCGCAGACUGAAGCGCAGGAGAAGCAGGACGAGGCAGAGGUCCACGGACAGCCACCGGCGCUCGUCAGAAGCCACAGCUUUAGGAAUAUGGAGUGCCUGAGGCCGGGACACUGCUACGAGCUGUUGACUGCGUGCUACCCACCGUCUCUGCAUCUGGGACUUCCGUUGCCAUUGGCCGACAGACCAUCACCUUACUCACACCUAACCAGUCCGGCUUUGACCCUUUGCCCCGCACCCAAGACAUUCUGGACUAGUUCUGUCUUCAGUUGCGGCUCGAUGUAAUGUGCACAAUACAUCAUUUCUUCUGCUGUCUUAGCUGAAGAAUAAAAAGAAAAUUAGUUCCUGUCAACAAACCUUGCAUUUUUCCAGCUGCGGGAGAGGGACAUAUCUGAUCGGAGCACAUGGGAGCAGA